GGCCAACUGGCCUAGUGGAUAAGGCAUCCGUUUCCGGUUCUUUAACCUCGCAUGCGGAAGAUCGCAGGUUCGAAUCCUGCGUUGGUCG